GUUAAAUGAAUUCCCUUGGAUUUACAAUACUCACAAAGCCGAGGCUGCUGCCAUACAGGAUGAAUCUUCACUUGGUUAACAGCGGGAGUAACACGAGCAACAGCUAGCAGGUCUUCAAGCUGCUUUACAGAGAAAUUACUAACUCCAAUCGCUCGAGCCUUGCCAGAAUCAAACAAUGCUUCCAUUGCUCGCCAUGUGCUGGGAAUGUCAGGGCCUGGCCAGUGAAUAAGGUACAGAUCAACAUAGUCAAGUUGCAGGUCACGCAAGGUUCUGUUCAAUGCCUUCGGAACAUCUUCUGGUGCAUGAUCAGUGUUCCAGAGUUUGGAGGUGAUCCAUAAGUCCUCACGUUUCACUAAACCAUCUUUAAAAACAUUCUUUAGAGCAACACCAAUCUGUUUCUCGUUCCCAUACAUUUGAGCGCAAUCAAUGUGUCGAUAUCCAACCUUAACAGCGGUGGUGAUGGCCCCUCCGACGGCGUUAGGGGCAGCCGCCCAUGUGCCUAACCCAACGGAGGGGAUUUUGGCUCCUGUGUUUAACUCAAAGAAUUUAAUUGAUUUCGCCAUUUCUCAAGAAAAAC
rnacentral:misc_RNA from 1 species